AGCGCACGCCGACGUCAUCUUGCGGCGCAGCUCGGUCUGAGUGGGAACCGCAAGGCUGAGCUCGGCGCUCAAAGACUCGGGACCUGCUGCAUGCAAGACACGCCACAAUAAAACAAAACUCCACUCACGUCAAAGGGCGUGCAGAGGAUGGGACAAUGAGGAGAUGCCCCACCCCCCCUACGUGAGUCGGAAGGAGACGAUUGGCUCUUGCAAACAGUUACAGAAGACAUUAUUGGCUAGCGUACCUCGAGGAAAUCAGGAGGGCGGAGCGGGUUCGCCGAGUCGCGUGGGAGGGACAGCACAAGAAAGAAGAAGAAGGACACCGUGGGGAGGGGGCUCAUGUUAUCACACUCCACCCAGGAGACACUGACAACUACGCUGGGCUCACUCCGCCGUUGCCCUUUUGAAGCUUAAAAAAAACAAGAUGAGGAGCUCCCGGUCUCAAUUGCAAUUUGGACGCGUCAAGCGUACUUUUGCACUGCCAGAUUUGACAGCCGUUUAAACGCUCUUACAUGGCAUUCCGAAGAAAUCGUGACCAAGAAAUAAGACUCAUGCUCCAGAUUUGAGGGCGGCCAAAACGGAGUCAGCCCGGUGUAGUUGGGUGGCCGAGAUCCAUAGAGCAAAUAGCCGUGGCCUCUCACCUCUCCUCUCGACGAUCUGGAGGUAACCUGUGGACAGGUACUGCUCCACAUCCUGCUGGAAGGCCUCCUCCAGCAGCUUAUGUUUGUCUUUCGGCUUCCGCUGCCCGUCAUCGCCAGCGUCAGCACACUGAGAGCGGGACCCCUUGGGUGUGGGCUCACAGUCCACCUCCGCUGCAAACAUUUCAGGGUGCACAGAAAGAGAAUGUCACGAUUGGUGGAAUCCAAGGCCGGGCCCUCGUUUGUACGUGCGGCGGGCACAAAUGGCUCCCCUCGACUUCUUUGCUCCAUGUGAUUGCAUGUAAGCGCCCUUUUGACAUCUGCAAAGCAGCAUAAAAGACCCCGUGAGCUAAAUAUGAGCUACCGCUAAAAAUAGAAGCCCCCGGAGCAGCAAGAAGACGCGGCAGGCGGCACAAAAUGUAGUUGAGCUUACAAGAAGGAGGAACAAAGUGCAAAGAAAAGGGAUUAGAACGUGCACGUUGGUGGCAGGUGCUUUAAUCGAUCCACGCAGCACCCAAAUGAUGAGAAAUCUCAAACAAGGCACCAACCAAGUGUUAUUUGCAUAGGCCUCCCUGUAAAUUUGGAAAUCUGGUGUCUUCAACAUUUUAUUGAUUUGGGGGCGUGGCUAAAACCGCAGCCAGUCACAAACAGCGGCGUCGACAUUCGAAUGGGCGCACCUUGGUUUACGACGGUGGUGCAUGAUGUCACGUAAUUGGAACUUAGUUACGAACUGCCAUAUCCAUCUGGAAUACGCAUUUGUUUGCAAAAUAAAUUCAAUUAAAUAUCAUCAGCUCUA